UCCGCGGUCGUACGGCAGAUU
rnacentral:piRNA from 1 species